rnacentral:rRNA from 1 species
CCAAAAACGGUUUCAUCCUCUAAAGACAUUUGCUCUUGUGCUACCUUUAUUCAUUGAAUAACAUCAUGGAAUUUAACGAUUUUCCAGUUGAGAGACUUUAUAAUCUAAGAAAUUAGGAAUAUGUUACCAAUAAUAUUAACGACUAUUAAAGUGCCAGCAGUCGCGGUCAUACUUUAGUUAAAAAUAAACUUAAUUAGGACAUGUAUAAGUUAUACUCAACCUGUAGUAAAAUAUGGUCAUAACAUACUCUUACACUUUAAUUCUGAUAAACACUGAUAACAAACAGGGAUUAGAUACCCCUCUAUGCAGUAAGUAAAUCACGUCCUGGGCACUACAAUUAAUAGAUUAAAACCCAACGAACAUGGCGGUAGUUUAAACAUUUAGGGGAACUUACUAAGUAAAUGAUAACCACCAAGAAUAUGUACGUUAAAUCACAUUUUACAUACCGUCGUCGUCAGAUCUACUUAGAUAGAAUAUCAAUAUAUUUUUAAAAAUAAAAGGACAGAUCAAGGUGUAGACUAUUUUAACGUUUCAGCGAGUUACAAUAUUCUUUUUUUUCGUGAACUAGUUAUAUAACUAGUUACAGACGGACUUAAAAGUAAUAUUUAUUAAAAAUACAAUAUGAAUAAUCUUAACCUGUGC